rnacentral:rRNA from 1 species
GGUGAGCUACCCCGAGACAGCCUAUAUUAAUUUAGGGCUAACCCGUCUCUGUGGCAAAAGAGUGGAAAGAGCUCCGGGUAGAAGUGAAAGACCUACCGAACCUGGUGAUAGCUGGUUGACUGAGAAAUGGAUAGAAGUUCAGCCUCGCACACCCCAAACCAAAAAAUAUUAUCACCAAGAUAUUAAGGGAAACGUACGAGAGUUAGUUAAAAGGGGUACAGCCCUUUUAACAAAGGAUACAACCUUUACAGGAGGAUAAAGAUCAUAAUGUAUAAGAUAUACUGUUCUAGUGGGCCUGAAAGCAGCCACCUAAACAGAAAGCGUUAAAGCUCGGACAGAAGGAAGUUUAUUAUACUGAUAAAAAAUCUUAUUCCCCUAGCUAUAUCAGACCAACCCAUGCCUCCAUGGAAGAGAUUAUGCUAAAAUGAGUAAUAAGAAGACCCGCUCUUCUCCCAGCACAAGUGUAAACCAGAUCGGACUGACCACUGGAACUUAACGAACCCAACCCCAGAGGGUAGUGUGAUUAACAAAAAACUCAAGAAGGCCUCACAUAACUAAUCGUUAACCCCACACUGGAGUGCUAUUUUAAGGGAAAGACUAAAAGAAGGGGAAGGAACUCGGCAAACACAAGCCUCGCCUGUUUACCAAAAACAUCGCCUCCUGCAACUAAACUGAGUAUAGGAGGUCCAGCCUGCCCAGUGACUACGGGUUCAACGGCCGCGGUAUCUUGACCGUGCAAAGGUAGCGCAAUCACUUGUCUCUUAAAUAGAGACCUGUAUGAAUGGCUAGACGAGGGCUUAACUGUCUCCCCCUUCCAGUCAGUGAAAUUGAUCUAUCCGUGCAGAAGCGGGUAUAAAUAUACAAGACGAGAAGACCCUUUGGAGCUUAAGGUACAAAAUUCAGCCACGUUAAACAACUCUAUAAGAAGCAAGAACUUAGUGAUAAUGAAAUUUUACCUUCGGUUGGGGCGACCGCGGAGGAAAAACAAGCCUCCGAGUGGACUGGGCCGAAUCCCUGAAGCCAAUAGAGACAUCUAUAAGCCGCAGAACAUCUGACCAAAAAUGAUCCGGCUAAAAGCCGAUCAACGAACCAAGUUACCCAAGGGAUAACAGCGCAAUCCCCUCCCAGAGCCCAUAUCUACGAGGGGGUUUACGACCUCGAUGUUGGAUCAGGACAUCCUAAUGGUGC